GACGAAGGAUGCAAGCGUUAUCCGGAUUCAUUGGGUUUAAAGGGAGCGUAGGCGGGCUUGUAAGUCAGUGGUGAAAUCUGUGGGCUUAACCCACAAACUGCCAUUGAUACUGCAGGUCUAGAGUACAGUUGCCGUUGGCGGAAUAUGACAUGUAGUGGUGAAAUACUUAGAUAUGUCAUAGAACACCGAUUGCGAAGGCAGCUAACGAAACUGUAACUGACGCUGAGGCUCGAAAGUGCGGGGAUCAAACAGG
rnacentral:rRNA from 1 species